GAUGAACGCUGGCGGCGUGCCUAAUACAUGCAAGUCGAGCGAACAGACGAUGAGCUUGCUCCUCUGACGUUAGCGGCGGACGUGUGAGUAACACGUGGAGAACCUACCUAUAAGACUGGGAUAACUUCGUGAAACCGGAGCUAAUACCGGAUAAUAUAUUGAUCCGCAUGGUUCAAUAGUGAAAGACGGUUUUGCUGUCACUUAUAGAUGGAUCCGCGCCGCAUUAGCUAUUUGGUAAGGUAACGGCUUACCAAGGCGACGAUGCGUAGCCGACCGGAGAAGGUGUACGGCCACAGUGGAACUGAGACGCGGUACAGACUCCUACGGGAGGCAGAAGUAGGGAAUCUACGGAGCUGGGCGGAAGCCUGACGGAGCAGCGCCGCGUGAGUGAUGAAGGUCUUCGGAUCGUAUGACUCUGUUAUUAGGGAAGAACACAUGUGUAAGUAACUAUGCACGUCUUGACGGUACCUGAUCAGAAAGCAACGGCUAACUACGUG
rnacentral:rRNA from 1 species